rnacentral:rRNA from 1 species
AUUGAACGCUGGCGGCAGGCCUAACACAUGCAAGUCGAGCGGAUGAAGGGAGCUUGCUCCUGUCUUCAGCUGCGGACGGGUGAGUAAUGCCUAGGAAUCUGCCUUGCAUUGGGGGAUAACGUCCGGAAACGGGCGCUAAUACCACAUACGUCCUGAUUGAGAAAGUGGGGGAUCUUCGGACCUCACGCUAUCAGAUGAGCCUAGGUCGGAUUAGCUAGUUGGUGGGGUAAAGGCCUACCAAGGCGACGAUCCGUAACUGGUCUGAGAGGAUGACCAGUCACACUGGAACUGAGGCACGGUCCAGACUCCUACGGGAGGCAGCAGUGGGGAAUAUUGGACAAUGGGCGAAAGCCUGAUCCAGCCAUGCCGCGUGUGUGAAGAAGGUCUUCGGAUUGUAAAGCACUUUAAGUUGGGAGGAAGGGCAGUAAGUUAAUACCUUGCUGUUUUGACGUUACCAACAGAAUAAGCACCGGCUAACUUCGUG